rnacentral:rRNA from 1 species
GACGUAGGGCGCGAGCGUUGUCCGGAUUUAUUGGGCGUAAAGAGCUCGUAGGCGGCUUGUCGCGUCGUUCGUGAAAACCUGGGGCUCAACUCCAGGCUUGCGGGCGAUACGGGCAGGCUAGAGUUCGGUAGGGGAGACUGGAGUUCCUGGUGUAGCGGUGAAAUGCGCAGAUAUCAGGAGGAACACCGGUGGCGAAGGCGGGUCUCUGGGCCGAUACUGACGCUGAGGAGCGAAAGCGUGGGGAGCGAACAGG